GAUAAAAACGAUAUUCCCAUAAACCCCAAGAAGAACCCCAGGAUGCAGAAAGCAGAUAAUCUAAGUAAAAAAGAGUGGGAUUUGGAUAUGAUGGCAAUAAUGACAAGUUGAAACUCUUCCCUCGUAUAGCUAUUGCAUUUGCUGCUAAACAAGCAUGAUGAAUCCUCAAAUUGCAACUACCAUCGAUUUGCUUCAACUCCCACAACCCUUUUUCUCUCGCAAAACCUUCUUCACCCAUUCUUCUCUUUCUCAACGUCUUCUUACAACUAAAUUUCCACACAACAACCCUCGCAACUGCAAAUUUAGAAUCACUGCUUCCAAUUCUCUUUCAGUUUCAAAUACAUCAUCCUCCAGCAAAGAACAAGCCGAAUCUCCUCAGCUAUUCGAGAAACUGAAGGAGGCCGAAAGGAAACGGGUAAAUGAGUUGGAAGAAGUUGAGAGGAAAGCUAAUUUGCAGUUAGAUAGGCAACUUGUGUUGGCUUCCUCAUGGAACAGAGCUUUGUUGACUUUUCGUGGAAAAUUGAAAGGAACUGAAUGGGAUCCUGAAAACUCUCACAGGAUAGACUUCAGUGAUUUUCUGAAACUGCUUGAUUCCAAUAAUGUUCAGUUUAUAGAGUACUCUGAUUAUGGACAAGCCAUAUCAGUUAUUUUACCACAUUACAAGGACGGGAAAAUAUCAAGCACUGAAGGGAAUCCUAAGGAUAUUGUUUUUCGGCGUCAUGCGGUUGAUCAAAUGCCAAUUGAUUGUUGGAAUGAUGUUUGGGGAAAGCUGCAUCAACAAAUUGUAAAUGUUGAUGUCAUUAAUGUAAACGCUGUACCCGCUGAAGUGUACUCUACAGUUGCAACUGCAGUCGUAUGGUCUAUGCGUCUUGCCCUGGCUUUUGGAUUUUAUGUGUGGAUUGAUAAUUUGAUGAGACCAGUAUAUGCAAAGUUGAUACCUUGUGAUUUGGGAGCUCCUCCUACCCCACCAACCAAGCUUCCAGUCUUAAGAAGACACGCACUUGGUUCUCUAGGCAAGAGUCGGGCUAAAUUUAUAUCCGCAGAAGAAAGAACUGGUGUUACAUUUGAUGAUUUUGCUGGUCAGGAAUAUAUAAAGAGGGAACUACAAGAGAUUGUUCGAAUUUUAAAGAAUGAUGAGGAGUUUCAAGACAAAGGAAUUUAUUGUCCAAAAGGUGUACUACUUCAUGGGCCUCCUGGAACUGGUAAAACUUUACUGGCUAAAGCCAUCGCAGGUGAAGCAGGGUUGCCUUUUUUUGCAGCUAGUGGCACGGAGUUUGUAGAGAUGUUUGUAGGGGUUGCUGCGUCCCGUGUUAAAGACCUUUUUGCUAGUGCAAGAUCAUUUGCUCCUUCUAUAAUCUUUAUUGAUGAGAUUGAUGCUAUUGGUAGCAAGCGUGGAGGACCUGAUAUUGGUGGAGGAGGUGCUGAAAGGGAGCAGGGAUUGCUUCAGAUACUGACUGAGAUGGACGGAUUCAAAGUUUCCACAGCAGAGGUGCUUGUGAUAGGUGCUACGAAUAGAUUGGAUAUUAUUGAUCCUGCUCUAUUGAGGAAGGGUCGUUUCGACAAGAUUAUUAGAGUUGGUUUACCUUUAAAAGAUGGAAGACUUGCCAUUUUGAAGGUGCAUGCUAUGAAUAAGCCUUUUCGCUCAGAGGAGGAAAAGGAUACUCUACUUAAGGAAAUUGCAGAGCUAACAGAAGAUUUUACUGGGGCAGAGCUACAAAAUAUACUAAACGAAGCUGGAAUUUUAACAGCCAGGAAGGAUCUGGAUUACAUUGGGCGUGAUGAGCUGCUUGAAGCAUUAAAAAGGCAAAAAGGAACAUUUGAAACAGGGCAAGAGGAUAUUACAGAAAUUCCUGAAGAACUGAGACUGAGAUUAGCAUAUAGAGAAGCAGCUGUUGCUAUUCUUGCAUGUUAUUUUCCUGAACCACACCGGCCUUUUGUUGAGACUGAUAUAAGUUCUGUUCGCAGCCAGCCAAAUUUGCAAUAUCAUGAAACUUUUGGAAAGGUUUUUGCUAGGAAAUCAGAUUACAUAAACUCUGUAGUGCGUUCUUGUGCUCCAAGAGUAAUCGAGGAGUUGAUGUUUGGGAACGACAACUUGUGUUGGAUGUCUGCAAAUGCAACGUUCGAAGCUUCAAGGCUUGCAGAAUUUUUGAUUCUGCAGACUGGAAUGACUGCAUUUGGGAAAGCAUAUUACAGAAGCCAAAGUGAUCUUGUGCCUAAUCUUGCAGUGAAGCUUGAAGCACUCCGAGAUGAGUAUAUGCGUUAUGGUACAGAGAAGUGUUCAUCUGUGCUAAGAGAAUACCACUCAGCUGUUGAGACAAUCACAGAUAUUUUGCUUGAAAAGGGGAAAAUCACAGCUGAGGAGAUUUGGGACAUUUAUAAGAGUGCUCCUCGUGUAGCUCAGCCUUCUGUGAGUCCACUUGAUGAAUAUGGAGCGCUGAUUUAUGCUGGACGAUGGGGCAUCCAUGGGAUCAGUCUUCCUGGAAGGGUUACAUUUGCACCGGGCAAUGUUGGGUUUUCGACCUUUGGUGCACCACGCCCUACAGAGCUGCAAAUCAUUAAUGAUGAAACAUGGAAACUAGUAGAUGAUAUCUGGGAUAAAAAGGUUCAAGACAUUAGAGAUGAAGCUUCAAGGGAGAUUGAAGAAGAGAAAGAAAAGCCACAACUUUUGAUGGCAAGUCAUUUCCUCUGAGGGGAACUUUUACCUGAGCUGCAGGAGCUAUCUACUGAGGAAAAUAAUAUAAAGCGUCUGUCAAUUGCAUAACAUAAAUAGCAACAAUGUCUCCUUUAUGCGGAAUUCAUGGAUCAAACUAGUUACUCUUGUUUUUCCUCCUCUGAUCUAAUAUUGUAAAUUUUUAUCCUGCUCUUUUAGUUGGUGAGAUGCUCUAUCAGGAUAUUUUCCUUCCCUUACCCAGUUCUUCAUCAGCUGGAAUCUCAACUUGGAGUGCAUAUCAUCAAAAUGAAGUUUGAUUUUCUCUCGAACAAUCUAGCUGAAGUGUAGUUGUGUCAUCGUCAUCAAGUGUCAUUUCCUCUGCAGCCAAGCGCCAAACUGAAGGUUGUUUUCAUGGGUUUAGAUUCCCUACAGUAGCUACAAUGAACAACAGUUGUUGAGACUCUUAGAUCUAGAUAGAGGAGUUUUAUCUUUUUAGAUCGAAUAGUCUUUAGAGCUGCUGUAGUUUGCACUGUGUAGCUGUUGUAGAGGAUUCAAUUCCAUUUUUACUUGGUGCUUCUUUUUUGCAUUGGAUUUCACUCCGUAAGUGCAAAAGAGUGUCUUACAUUUCUAAA